rnacentral:rRNA from 1 species
CUGGCAGUCAGAGGCGAUGAAGGGCGUGCUAAUCUGCGAUAAGCGCCGGUAAGGUGAUAUGAACCGUUAUAACCGGCGAUACCCGAAUGGGGAAACCCAGUGUGAUUCGUCACACUAUCAUUAACUGAAUCCAUAGGUUAAUGAGGCGAACCGGGGGAACUGAAACAUCUAAGUACCCCGAGGAAAAGAAAUCAACCGAGAUUCCCCCAGUAGCGGCGAGCGAACGGGGAGGAGCCCAGAGCCUGAAUCAGCAUGUGUGUUAGUGGAAGCGUCUGGAAAGGCGCGCGAUACAGGGUGACAGCCCCGUACACAAAAGCGCAUGUGCUGUGAGCUCGAUGAGUAGGGCGGGACACGUGGUAUCCUGUCUGAAUAUGGGGGGACCAUCCUCCAAGGCUAAAUACUCCUGACUGACCGAUAGUGAACCAGUACCGUGAGGGAAAGGCGAAAAGAACCCCGGCGAGGGGAGUGAAAAAGAACCUGAAACCGUGUACGUACAAGCAGUGGGAGCACCCUUUGGGUGUGACUGCGUA